GUCCGUGGCCUAGUGGAUAGAACGCGAGUAAUUUAGCGUCUAACCGAAUGGUCGCGGGUUCAAAUCCCGUCGCGGCCG